rnacentral:rRNA from 1 species
AAACGGUGAGUAAUACCGUAUACGCCCUAAGGGGGAAAGAUUUAUCGGAUUUGGAUCGGCCCGCGUUAGAUUAGGUAGUUGGUGGGGUAACGGCCUACCAAGCCUACGAUCUAUAGCUGGUUUUAGAGGAUGAUCAGCAACACUGGGACUGAGACACGGCCCAGACUCCUACGGGAGGCAGCAGUGGGGAAUCUUGGACAAUGGGGGAAACCCUGAUCCAGCCAUGCCGCGUGAGUGAAGAAGGCCCUAGGGUCGUAAAACUCUUUCGCCUGUGAUGAUAAUGACAGUAGCAGGUAAAGAAACCCCGG